GACGAACGCUGGCGGCGUGCUUAACACAUGCAAGUCGAACGGAAAGGCCCUGCUCUUGUGGGGUGCUCGAGUGGCGAAAGGGUGAGUAACAGGUGAGUAACCUGCCCUUGACUUUGGGAUAACUGCAGGAAACUGGGGCUAAUACCGGAUAGGAGCUCCUGCUGCAUGGUGGGGGUUGGAAAGUUUCGGCGGUUUGGGAUGGACUCGCGGCUUAGCAGCUUGUUGGUGGGGUAGUGGCUUACCAAGGCUUUGACGGGUAGCCGGCCUGAGAGGGUGACCGGCCACAUUGGGACUGAGAUACGGCCCAGACUCCUACUGGAGGCAGCAGUCGGGAAUAUUGCACAAUGGGCGGAAGCCUGAUGCAGCAACGCCGCGUGCGGGAUGACGUCCUUCGGGUUGUAAACCGCUUUCGCCUGUGACGAAGCGUGAGUGACGGUAAUGGGUAAAGAAGCACCGGCUAACUACGUG
rnacentral:rRNA from 1 species